rnacentral:rRNA from 1 species
UCCUACGGGAGGCAGCAGUGGGGAAUAUUGGACAAUGGGGGCAACCCUGAUCCAGCCAUACCGCGUGUGCGAGGAAGGCCUUAGGGUGUAAAGCACAAACUGCAGGAAAGAAAGGGGUAGGUUAAUACCUGGGCAGCUGACGUACCGCAG